CGACAUCUCUGAGCAUGAUCUCUCCCUGCUCACACUCAGCUAUGCAGAGCGGGGAAAGGUACAACCUUCAGAACCCUCUGCUUAGCAUCUGCGCUCUAAGCCCGUGGAUAAAGGAUAACCAGCAUCCCCCCUGUCGGGACACAGGGAGCUGUCCUGCAGCGCUGGCUCUGCAUCAGAUCUGAUCUGAAUGCACUUGUUCUAAAAUGCUUCAUCAAAAGAUGAACUGCAUGCUCUUCCUUCAGCGUUUCCUGUCCAAAACAAGCACUGGGGGUUCUGGGGAACCUCUGAGGAGCACCCUGCCUUUACUCACAGUUCUUCCAGAGGUACGCACCAAGGAAAGGCCAUGGGAAGGCACAAGGAGAAGGCAACCGUCUGUAAAGAGUGCUCUUACUGGGAUCUGAUCCUGCUGACUCCCUAAUCUUGGACUUCCAGCCUCCAGGACUGUUAUUUAAGCCACCCAGUCUCUGAUAUUGUGUUAUGGAAGCUCAAGUAGACACAUGCAAAGAGCCCAGAUAUCUUCCUCUUGCCUUCUUUCCCAAACUCACCUGUCUUAGAUUCUAUUCCAUUGGUUCCAGUGUAACAAACUGAUUCAUACUGGUUUAAUAAUCAGGAACAAAUUUCAUCACCCCCCUCAGAGACAUGGCGAGAAAUAAGGCUUUUGACACCCAGCCAAUAAAACAACCUAGCAGCCA